AAGAACAGUUUAGUGGAUACCAGGGGAAAGGUGGGGUGGGGGGUGGGCACAAAGGGUGAAGUGGUGCACCUACAACAUGACUGACAAACAUUAACGUACAAUUGAAAUUUCACAAGAUGGUAACCUAUCAUUAACUCAAUAAAAAAAAAAAAAAAAGUACAUUGCAUCGCAGCUACAAGCACUCAUAUUUCCACUACCAUCUUUCUGCUUUUAAAUCUCAAGAUUUUUUUUUAAGAUUUUAUUUUUUUCCUUUUUCUCCCCAAAGCCCCCCCCCAGUACAUAGUUGUAUAUUCUUUGUUGUGGGUUCUUCUAGUUGUGGCAUGUGGGACGCCGCCUCAGCGUGGUCUGAUGAGCAGUGCCAUGUCCGCGCCCAGUAUUCGAACCAACGAAACACUGGGCUGCCUGCAGCCCAGCGCUUGAACUUAACCACUCGGCGGCGGGGCCAGCCCCUCAAGAUUUUUAAAACAAAGCAGAGAGGAACAAAGCAGAGCGCAGGCCCAGUAUCAAUGUAUAACUCUGGAUGCUCACUCAGCACAUCGUGUGGUGGGACUAACUCAGCUGUGAGCACUGAAGUUCACAGCAGCCCCAGGGAGGACUCAGUUCACACUCGGCAGCAGCAGAAGGCAGAAUCCCCACAAGACGUGAAAGAACCGACUCUGCUGGUCAGCAGGAGGCCAGAGGGUCUUCUGAGUAACCCUCCAGUCUGUUCUCUGCUGCUGAAGAACAAGGACGAUGAUUCAACUCCUAAACAGUCCCUCGCAAGGGAUCUUGGACUGCUUUCCACGUAUGUGGUCAUCGUCAUGAGUCUCAGCUGCUUGAUCUGAUUCAACAAUUAAUUUUGUUUACAGAUUUUUCUCUAUAUUCCUAAACAUUGUUUUGGGGAAGAAAAAGCCACUUCUUUAAGGUAACUUAUUGUCAUCUUCCUAGACUUAACUUGAUUGCUGACUAUGAAUACAAAGGAUUAGUUCUUUUGAAGAGAAUGCUUCUUAAUUAUACACAGUAGAAAUGUGAUUACUCAUGUUCCUUCAUUAACCUGAAUAGUUUGUGAGAAAUAAAAAGUGUAAGAAAAAGGUCA
rnacentral:lncRNA from 1 species